GGAACUGAGACACGGUCCAGACUCCUACGGGAGGCAGCAGUGGGGAAUAUUGCACAAUGGGCGCAAGCCUGAUGCAGCCAUGCCGCGUGUAUGAAGAAGGCCUUCGGGUUGUAAAGUACUUUCAGCGGGGAGGAAGGGAGUAAAGUUAAUACCUUUGCUCAUUGACGUUACCCGCAGAAGAAGCACCGGCUAACUCCGUGCCAGCWGCCGCGGUAAUACGGAGGGUGCAAGCGUUAAUCGGAAUUACUGGGCGUAAAGCGCACGCAGGCGGUUUGUUAAGUCAGAUGUGAAAUCCCCGGGCUCAACCUGGGAACUGCAUCUGAUACUGGCAAGCUUGAGUCUCGUAGAGGGGGGUAGAAUUCCAGGUGUAGCGGUGAAAUGCGUAGAGAUCUGGAGGAAUACCGGUGGCGAAGGCGGCCCCCUGGACGAAGACUGACGCUCAGGUGCGAAAGCGUGGGGAGCAAACAGGAUUAGAUACCCUGGUAGUCCACGCCGUAAACGAUGUCGACUUGGAGGUUGUGCCCUUGAGGCGUGGCUUCCGGAGCUAACGCGUUAAGUCGACCGCCUGGGGAGUACGGCCGCAAGGUUAAAACUCAAAUGAAUUGACGGGGGCCCGCACAAGCGGUGGAGCAUGUGGUUUAAUUCGAUGCAACGCGAAGAACCUUACCUGG
rnacentral:rRNA from 1 species